UGUAAAACAAAGGGGGGCCUAGCAAAAGAAGAACCCAAAUUUUAUUAAGAUAAUAUCUCUAAAUAUCAACUUAGCUUUGCUUUGCAAUUUUUUAAACUUUAUUUCAUUUUUUCAUUUAUUUAGUUUUUGUCAAUAGUUUAAAUAUAUUUUUUAUCAUUUUUUACGAUAUCGAAAUAUGACAACAUACUAUUAUGAAUACGCAUUAUCAUAAUUUAUAUAUUUAUAUUCAGACGGAUAUUUAACAGUGGUUACUUUUCACAAUUGCAUAAACAUUUGGUGAGAGUUUUAGAAACAUUUUUAUUUUUUAUACAGGAGUUAAAGUGAGUUUAUUGGAGGGAAUAAAAGUUUUUUUUCAUUUUGUAAACACGGUUUCCAUGGCAGCCGCAAAGUUCACGGAGCAAAAUAAGUUAAACCUGCGGAAGAAAAUCCACCGGGAGCAGAGCAGAGAGGUAACCGGAACCUGCCACCGCUCCAGGCCUCAACAAUAAUCCUGAAAUAUGGACCACAACAAUAUUUACCUGAGCUACCCUGACCCCGCCUACCAGCAGGUUCAGCAGCCAUGGCUGGUCCAUGACAAUCCGACCCUUCAGGAAGGAUAUAUACCAGUGUUUCAGCAGGAGAACAUGGUCCUGGGGGAUCCUAACACACUGGAAUAUCAGACACUGAGAGCCGACGCUCACAUAUUUAACGGAGAGUCCUGUGACCCACCUG